UCGAAACCUUAUCCCGAACAGGAACGACCCGCGAACGAGUGACCACACACGCSGUGCGUUGGGAACCUYUUCGGUCUCACGCCCGCCGAGUCCGCUGGGUCUCGCGUGGUCCAAAAGAGUUCUCUCGUCGAACCGCUCGUGACUCGGUCGGAAAUCACCAAACCCCGGCGCGAAAAGCGCCNAGGACUAUCUACGAAACAGCUCGGUCGAACACCCCAUACCAGGUGUGUGUCSGAACGUGUUGCUGCGAUCAUAAGUYUAACGACUCUCGSCANCGAAUAUCUNGGCUCUGGCAUCGAUGAAGAACGUAGCGAAAUGCGAUACUUGGUGUGAAUUGAAGAAUCCCGUGAACCAUCGAGUCUUUGAACGCAAGUUGCGCCCCAAGCCGUCAGGCCRAGGGCACGUCUGCCUGGGUGUCACGCAUCGUCGUCCCCCUCCCACCCGGUGCCCACUCGCCCGGGUGAUCAAUAAGCGGAGACGGAGACUGGUCUCCCGUGUGGUCCCGCACGCGGUUGGCCCAAAACCGAGCCACGGGCGCGGAGCGUCCCGACGAGCGGUGGUGUAUACAUGCCUCGUGUACGUCGGGCCGGCUCGCGUCCUAAUGGACUCCAUGACCCUUUAAGAGCCGCCAUGGCGUCUCUCCGAACGCGACCCCAGGUCAGGCGGGA
rnacentral:rRNA from 1 species